GAUGAACGCUGGCGGCGUGCUUAACACAUGCAAGUCGAACGCGCAGCCUCCUUCGGGAGGUGGGCGAGUGGCGAACGGGUGCGUAACACGUAGGAAUCUGCCCCAGAGAGGGGGAUAACCGCUGGAAACGGUGGCUAAUCCCGCAUACCCUCGCGAGAGGAAAGCUCAGGCGCUCUGGGAUGAGCCUGCGGCCUAUCAGGUAGUUGGUGGGGUAACGGCCCACCAAGCCGACGACGGGUAGGGGGCGUGAGAGCGUGGCCCCCCACACGGGAACUGAGACACGGUCCCGACGCCUACGGGCGGCAGCAGUGAGGAAUCUUGCACAAUGGGGGCAACCCUGAUGCAGCGACGCCGCGUGCGGGAAGAAGGCCUUCGGGUCGUAAACCGCUUUUCUGUGGGAAGAGGAAGGACGGUACCGCAGGAAUAAGUCCCGGCUAACUACGUGCCAGCCGCCGCGGUAA
rnacentral:rRNA from 1 species